UACGAAGGGGGCUAGCGUUGCUCGGAAUCACUGGGCGUAAAGGGUGCGUAGGCGGGUCUUUAAGUCAGGGGUGAAAUCCUGGAGCUCAACUCCAGAACUGCCUUUGAUACUGAAGAUCUUGAGUCCGGGAGAGGUGAGUGGAACUGCGAGUGUAGAGGUGAAACUCGUAGAUAUUCGCAAGAACACCAGUGGCGAAGGCGGCUCACUGGCCCGGUACUGACGCUGAGGCACGAAAGCGUGGGGAGCAAACAGG
rnacentral:rRNA from 1 species